rnacentral:rRNA from 1 species
UACGAACUGCGCGAACGUUAUUCGGCAUCACUGGGCGUACAGGGCGCGUCGGCGGCCUGCUAAUUCGGGGGUGAAAUUCUGCGGCUUAACCGCAGGACGGCCUUCGAGACUGUCGGGCUUGAGCACGGUAGAGGCUGGUGGAAUUCCCGGUGUAGCGGUGGAAUGCGUAGAGAUCGGGAAGAACAUCGGUGGCGAAGGCGGCCAGCUGGGCCGUUGCUGACGCUGAGACGCGAAAGCGUGGGGAGCAAACAGG